GGGGCAUUCGGUAAGCCUGGGACUGGUCUGCUGCCCGCAGGCAGCCUCAAUCCCCAGAAAGCCAGGGUGUUGUUGUUGUUGGCAUCAAUUGCAGGCUGGGAUGCUGUGGGGUUGGCAGCAUUGAUGUUUUA
rnacentral:tRNA from 1 species